GCUCAGUGGAUAGAGCAUCAGCCUGCAGACUGAAGGGUCCUGGGUUCAAUUCCCAG
rnacentral:tRNA from 1 species